rnacentral:lncRNA from 1 species
UUUAUAUGACAUCACAACCCCUCCUUUGGGAGCAGAGUUAUGAGCAUAAAUAUGCAAUCUCUUUGUUAGAGAUUAAUUUAAACUUUCUGUAGGUCGUGAUAAUCUCAAAUUUCCCAUAUGAAGAAAAUUGUCAGCUUUGGCCAGGCAAAUUUCUCCAAACGAGUUAUAAGAAAAUUACCAUCGUACACCACCCAUGUACCUUCAUGUCUAGACCUCCUUUGGGAGGAGACUAAACAUAAUAUUAGGGUGCAAUUUCUGCAUGCACAUCUUUAAAGCAAUUAAUUUAUCCUU